rnacentral:ncRNA from 1 species
GAAAAGUUUUAUUUUGGCUUAUUAUUUUGAUAUAUGGAUUAAAUAUAUGCAAGUUUUUGUAUUUAUAUUACUAUAGUAUAACGGUGGUAUAGGGUAAAUAUUUUUUGCAAUAUAGAGAAUUGAAUAUAAAAUAAGUUUUGAUUCAGGAAUCCAUUAUAGCUCUGAUUAAAUUUGUGCCAGCAAUCGCGGUUACACAGAUGGGGCAAUUAAGUUUUUUUCGGUUAAUAAUUAUUUAGAUUUUUUAUUAUGUUAAUUUGUAGUUAUUAGGUGAAAUUAGUAACUAUGAUGAGUAUUUUAAUUUAGGUAAUGAGGUUAUGAGGUUUCUGUAAUAAACUAGGAUUAGAUACCCUAUUAUUGGAAAUGCAAAAUAAAAUGAGUAUUAGUAGCUAUGUUCUUGAAAUUUAAAAGAUCUGGCGGUAUUUUAGUCUAUUCAGAGGAACCUGUCCUAUAAUUGAUAGUCCACGAUUAAUUGUACUUGCUUUCAGUUUGUAUAUCGUCGUAGUUUGAAUGUUUUAUGAGAAAGUUGAAUGUUCAAGAUUCAUGUUUAUAUGAAGGAAAUCAGAUCAAGAUACAGCGUAUAGGUAAGAAGAGAUGGGUUACAAUAAGUUUACUUAUAUGGUUAGAAUGAUUAACAUGUUCUAUAAAUUGGAUUUGAUAGUAAUAUAGUUUAGUUUAACUAUAUGAUUGAAGCUCUAAAAUAUGCACAUAUCGCCCGUCGCUCCUUCUCUAAGGAAGGAUAAGUCGUAACAUAGUAGGUGUACUGGAAAGUGUACCUGGAAUGGC